UAUUAUAAUAAACGUCGAUAUCAUUUCUACAUAUAUCACGAUGUAUCAUGAUACUGGAUGCACUAUAAAUUGUGUAUUACCUUCGUAUCUCGUGUAUAUCAGCAAAUAUAAUCGUGGCAUUCCCUCAUAACCCGCAAUACUAGAUAAUAUGUACUAUACAAACACAGUUCUCCAUAUAUCAUUCCGGAGAUAUCUCCAUAUGUUACAAUGCUACAUGUUAUAAUGCAUAAAACAUACUGAACAUCUCAAUCGACCCAAUCACAAUCAUACGCACGUCUAUUUCCAUACUGCAUCAAUAAAUAUACUAAUCACAAAAAUACUAGUGGAAUAAAUAUCCCACAAUGUACAAUGACAAUUUUCCAUAAUAGAUCUCCAUCGAUUAUCGCAUUAGAAUACUGAACAACUAAAUUUCUUAUGGACCAUGCUAAUAUUGUUGCGUUUUAUAUAAUAUAGAAAUAAUUUAUAGAUAUAUUAUAAUAUAGAAAUUUAUUGCAGAACACCACCUCGUUCCAAUCAUAUUUCACUACUCGUAAACAUCUAAUUUACAAAUAUUUAUAAAUGUGCCUAUAUAUAAAAAGAAAAAAGAAAAUUUCAGGAUUAAAGCAUAUAAUGUAUAAAAUGCAUAUCCGUCACUCUAAUUGCAUCUACGCUAAGGAAAAGAAAGAUAAAACUCGAGUGUGAAUACACAUAACGCGUAGAGUACGUAUUCGCCACCCUAACUGCAGCCACACUAAGCAAAAAAAAAAAAAAAAAAAACGAGAAUUCCUGCAUUACCAGGGAGUGAUUCGAUCAAUCGAAAGUGCAGGCGAGAAAAACAGCUGGUCCCAGGGUCACUGGGUUCGUCCGUUGUGAAUGGACCCGUACUCGACGCAAAGAACUGGUGGUGGGGGUUCAAUCAUCGCAAUGAAUUACAACGAGCCAGUCACCGAGAGUGACUCACUACGCUGCUCUAGCCGCUGCAGCUCGAUAAAAGUCUUUUUCUUUGCCCUCCUCGUGCCGGAGGAAUUCGAGAGAGCCCCGGGGAGCAGAAAGAGAGGCGCUCAAGGAACGCUAACAGAAGCGGCCGCUUAUGAAUCAUCUGUGUACGCGGGCAAAAUGCUUCGGCGAGGGGACACACAGUACAGUCGGAGAACAAGAGGACUUUCGUUCGUCGCGACUGCCAACCUAACGGGAUUUCUAGUGCUCUUAAUGGCUCCCUGCUAACUCUUUGUUCCUGGGGUUGUAUAACUGAAUUUCGAGAUGGAAAUGGGAAAUUAGUACUAAUUGAGGAUUUUCGCUUUCGGUAGAAGGCUAUCGGCAGAGUCGAAACAUUGGUUAUUGGUUAUGCAACAAUGAUUCCCCCACCAGGAAUGUUACCAGUAAUGCCCACUCUUGGCAAUUUACUACACGUGUCUUUCCAAACCCAAUCACGAAUUAAAAUUCUAUCUUAUUAAAU